CCUACGGGUGGCAGCAGUGGGGAAUAUUGCGCAAUGGGCGAAAGCCUGACGCAGCGACGCCGCGUGAGGGAUGAAGGUCUUAGGAUUGUAAACCUCUGUCAGCAGGGAAGAAAGGUCACUGUUCUAUUCAGCAGUGAAUUGACGGUACCUGCAAAGGAAGCAUCGGCUAACUCCGUGCGAGCAGCCGCGGUAAAACGGAGGGUGCGAGCGUUAAUCGGAUUUACUGGGCGUAAAGCGCUCGUAGGUGGUAUGUCAAGUCAAGUGUGAAAUCCCCGCGCUCAACGUGGGAACUGCCGUUGAAACUGGCAAACUGGAGUGUAGGAGAGGUAAGUGGAAUUCGAGGUGUAGGAGUGAAAUCCGUAGAUAUCAGGAAGAACAUCGGUGGCGAAGGCGGCUAUCUGGCACAUAACUGACGCUGAGGAGCGAAAGCGUGGGUAGCAAACAGGAUUAGAUACCCUUGUAGUC
rnacentral:rRNA from 1 species